rnacentral:rRNA from 1 species
CCUACGGGGUGCAGCAGUGGGGAAUAUUGGGCAAUGGGCGCAAGCCUGAACCAGCAACGCCGCGUGAAGGAAGAAGGCUUUCGGGUUGUAAACUUCUUUUAUCAGGGACGAAGCAAGUGACGGUACCUGAUGAAUAAGCCACGUCUACCUACGUGCCAGCAGCCGCGGUAAUACGUAGGUGGCAAGCGUUAUCCGGAUUUACUGGGUGUAAAGGGAGGGUAGGCGGGGGUGCAAGUCAGAUGUGAAAACUAUGGGCUCAACCCUUAGCCUGCAUGUGAAACUGUACUUCUUGAGGGCUGGAGAGGCAAUCGGAAUUCCGGGUGUAGCGGUGAAAUGCGUAGAUAUACGGAGGAACACCAGGGGCGAAGGCGGAUUGCUGGACAGUAACUGACGCUGAGGCGCGAAAGCGUGGGGAGCAAACAGGAUUAGAUACCCUAGUAGUC